rnacentral:sRNA from 1 species
GUUAGCGGAACAAAGACUAAAAGCGCCGCGUCCUGCGGCAACGUCUUUGUGAGCCCAUCCUGGGGG